rnacentral:rRNA from 1 species
CACGUAGGCACCAAGCGUUGUUCGGAUUUAUUGGGCGUAAAGAGCUCGUAGGCGGUUGAGUAAGUCGGGUGUGAAAACUCUGGGCUUAACCCAGAGCCGCCACCCGAUACUGCUCUGACUUGAGUUCGGUAGGGGAGCAGGGAAUUCCUAGUGUAGCGGUGAAAUGCGCAGAUAUUAGGAGGAACACCGGUGGCGAAGGCGGCUGCUCUGGGCCGAUACUGACGCUGAGGCGCGACAGCGUGG